CUUGUCAAGCGUCAGAGUUACGGCGACGCCGAGUGUUCAGAUUGUUCGGGAUGGCGGUGUCCUCCUGUAGCCUUUUGGACCCAGAACAAGAGCAAAUGAAGCUCUCUUUUUAUAAACAAGUCGCUGGAAAUAUUUUAAAGUCAGCCAGAGACGGUCUUUAGCUCAAUCAGCCUCCUUGUUACAGCCAGUUGGAGCAUGCAGAGGACGGAAAGCUCUCCUGCUACUACAGUCACAGCCGGCUGAGAGGUAGACACUCGGGAAAAAGGGACAUAAGAGAAGCUUGAAGUGUAUAAGGAAGAGACAAUGGUGAGACGAGAACAUCACAGGAGGACUAUAACACAAUGGGCUGCAAGACAAUGAUCUGUCAUUGACACUAAAUUGGAUGACCCACAGCUGCAUCGCUGCCUGAACAAAGAAUCAAAUAGAUCAGCGAUUUCUAAACGUGGGUGCUUGUACCCUGGGGUAUACUUAUUCACUUAUGAGAGGUUUUUCUGAG